ACGCGACCCCAGGUCAGGCGGGACCACCCGCUGAGUUUAAGCAUAUCAAUAAGCGGA
rnacentral:rRNA from 6 species